CCUACGGGUGGCAGCAGUGGGGAAUAUUGCACAAUGGGGGAAACCCUGAUGCAGCGACGCCGCGUGAGUGAAGAAGUAUUUCGGUAUGUAACGCUCUAUCCGCAGGGAAGAACAUGACGUUACCUAAUUAAGAAUCCCCUGCUAACUACUUGCCAGCAGCCGCGGUAAUACGUCGUGGGCAAGCGUUAUCCGGAUUUACUGGUUGUAAAGGGAGCGUAGACGGCAGCACAAGUCAGGAGUGAAAUGCCUGGGCUUAACCCCGGAACUGCGUGGGAAACUGUGCAGCUAGAGUGCAGGAGAGGUUAGUGGAAUUCCAGGUGUAGCGGUGAAAUGCGUAGAUAUUAGGAGGAACACCAGUGGCGAAGGCGACUAACUGGAAUGUAACUGACGUUGAGGAUCGAAAGCGUGGGGAGCAAACAGGAUUAGAUACCCCUGUAGUC
rnacentral:rRNA from 1 species